AUUGCGGAGACGGGAGUCCCAUCAUCCCUCCACUUGUUCAUCAAUGGCUUUCUGAAGAGAAAGUGUAGAUGUGUGCCAGAUUGUGGAUAUCAAAAAUUGCCACAACGCUACCUCCUGUCCCCCACGGUCUUCUUGCAAUGAUGUUGACUCUGCCCAUUUGAGAGACAAGCUAGGGUACUGCUCCCUUCAAGACUGGCAUCGAAGUCAAACCGGAACGUUACUGUGGCGUUAGGAUGUGAAGGCGUUCAUUACGGCCAGUACAGCAGGAUCCAGGCUGUGGCAGGCGUGUGUUCAGAUGCACCUGCCAGACAGCAGGAAGCCUCGACAGCUUAUGGCAACAUCCAGCUCCAUCUCUCACCCGGUGGCAGCCACCUGCAGGAGGUAAAUCUCCUAGGAAGAAACUAAGUCUCGAUUGCAAGUUUCAAGUCUUAAACCUCCAAACUCCAAGUGAGGAAAGGAACUAAAACAACCUCUGAUGUUGAUAUCUGCAUUUCAGAUUUAAACGUGUUUACGUUUUGAAAGUAUUUCUUCAUGAAGCAUAAUUGUUGGUCGUGAACAGUGCCUAGAAUGGAGAUGGUUUCUCGGUUCCGUAAAAGCUUACUGACUGUUCAGGAAAGAACAAGGCAAAGCUGACCUCCAUCCAUGAAGUUCGUGAGGUAGAUUUAUCAAGUUUCAGUCCAACAUCC
rnacentral:lncRNA from 1 species